rnacentral:lncRNA from 1 species
GGUGGCAUUAUUGGAGGAGUCACUGGAGGCUUUGGUGGUGGAAGAGUUGGUGGUGUUGGUGGUGUUGGUGGCAUUAUUGGAGGAGUCACUGGAGGCUUUGGUGGUGGAAGAGUUGGUGGUGUUGGUGGCAUUAUUGGAGGAGUCACUGGAGGCUUUGGUGGUGGAAGAGUUGGUGGUGUUGGUGGCUUUAUUGGAGGAGUCACUGGAGGCUUUGGUGGUGGAAGAGUUGGUGGUGGAAGAGCUGGAGGUGUUGGUGGCUUUAUUGGAGGAAUCACUGGAGGCUUUGGUGGUGGAAGAGCUGGUGGUGUUGGUGGCAGAACUGGUGGUUUGGGCACAUAUGGUGGUUUUGGUAUGAAGGGCGGAUGCACAAUGGGUGGUUUCGGUUUGAAGGGCGGAUGCACAAUGGGUGGUUUCGGUUUGAAGGGCGGAUGCACAAUGGGUGGUUUCGGUGUAUAGGGCGGAUGCACAAUGGGUGGUUUCGGUUUAAACGGGGGAUGUACAAUGGGAGGUUUGGGAACAACAGGCGGCUUAGGUGGGUGGGGUUUGGGGG